rnacentral:rRNA from 1 species
AACGAACGCUGGCGGCAUGCCUAACACAUGCAAGUCGAACGAUACCUUCGGGUCUAGUGGCGCACGGGUGCGUAACGCGUGGGAAUCUGCCCUUGGUUUCUGGAUAACAGUUUGAAACGACUGCUCAUACCGGAUGAUUACUUCGGUCCAAAGAUUUAUCGCCCAGGGAUGAGCCCGCGUCGGAUUAGCUAGUUGGUGAGGUAAGAGCUCACCAAGGCGACGAUCCGUAGCUGGUCUGAGAGGAUGAUCAGCCACACUGGGACUGAGACACGGCCCAGACUCCUACGGGAGGCAGCAGUGGGGAAUAUUGGACAAUGGGCGAAAGCCUGAUCCAGCAAUGCCGCGUGAGUGAUGAAGGCCUUAGGGUUGUAAAGCUCUUUUACCCGGGAUGAUAAUGACAGUACCGGGAUAAUAAGCCCCGGCUAACUCCGUG